GGGCCUGUCUCAGCCCACUUCCCGUCGCCACCCCCAACGGCCUGAGCUCCCCCGGAGCCUCACUCGGGCCUUUCCUCAGGCCCUCCUGUCUGCUCCACGUGGGGCGCCGGGGCCUCGAACCGCCCGUCCCCUCCAGCCGAGUUUCCCCACCCGCCAGGCCACCGCGGCGUCGGGGUCCCAUACCUGAUGCUGUUGUCGCCCCUGCUGGUAAGGCUUAAUUGGCCCCUGGUGGCAACGCCGCGUCCGGAUCUUGCCGCCACCGCCCCCUCCGACUCCUCCGGCUCCCGAGGCCAUGGCGGAGCCUCCGCCGCUUCCCGCUCCGGGGCGGGUAAGGGGGCGGGAGAGGCAGAGGCGGAGGCCUUAGAGAGCCUCCCCCGCCGCCCGGCCCCGGCCCAAAAGUCCGCCCGCGCUGUCCACACAGUGGGCACAAGCACCCCAGGAACCGCGAGGUUGCGAGCAGGAGCGGAGAGAGGGUGAGUGCUGGCAGCGGGGAAGGGGGUGGCGGCCGCAGAGGCCGAGGAGGCUCCGGUCCGGCCGCCUCUGCGGACCCCCGCCUCUGUGUGUGUCACGGUCUCUAUGGAGAUCUCCCGCAGAGGACAGCACGAACAGUUCCCCGCGGUGCUGAGGCCUAACUCGACCGCCGACUGGUGGGAGUUCUUCCGUCGCCCUAGCCGUAGCUGCCGCAGUUGAAGCCGCUGGCGACGCCCGCCUACCCCUCCCCUGUGCGCACAGCGCCCGCCCCGCCGCCGUCGUCGUCGUCGUCCCUGCAGCCUCCGCCGCCGUUGCGCCUAUUACCCCUGCUAAGGCGGCUGCCGCGGUCGCGAGCCAGAAUGUCGUCACUCAUCGGCGCCCGACGCAUUUGCAUCAUCAUGCUGCGACGAGCUGAUAGGCAAAGAGGAAGGGCUGGUCGAGUCCACGCUCUCGGCCGCGCGGCACGCUGGGAAACGUAGUUCAACAACGGAACGCGGCUUCUCGGAAAGGAAGAGGGACGGGGAAGGAGAUCUCCGGGGCGCCGCAGAGGCACAAAGCCAAGGGGUACUUUUGCUGUUCUUGGCUGUAAAUUAGACUUUGAAAAGACACUUAACAUAAAAACAGUAACCUCUUCCCAUUCUCCUUCUCCCUGUCGGUUGGUUAAGUAGGCAGGAAGUAAGCAGACAGUAAAAUCAAAGACAAGAGCUAAUGAUUUAAGAAGGAGGAAAAAAAAAUCUGUGGUUGAAAAAUAAAGUCCAUGAUCCUUAGAAUUAGAAAAUA
ensembl:lncRNA NUP153-AS1 NUP153 antisense RNA 1